rnacentral:rRNA from 1 species
UGCGAACUCCUACGGGAGGCAGCAGAGGGGAAUUUUGGACAAUGGGGGCAACCCUGAUCCAGCAAUGCCGCGUGAGUGAAGAAGGCCUUCGGGUUGUAAAGCUCUUUUGUCAGGGAAGAAACGGUAGUAGCUAAUAUCUAUUACUAAUGACGGUACCUGAAGAAUAAGCACCGGCUAACUACGUGCCAGCAGCCGCGGUAAUACGUAGGGUGCAAGCGUUAAUCGGGAUUACUGGGCGUAAAGCGUGCGCAGGCGGUUGUGUAAGUCAGAUGUGAAAUCCCCGGGCUCAACCUGGGAAUUGCAUUUGAGGCUGCACGGCUAGAGUGUGUCAGAUGGGGGUAGAAUGCCACGUGUAGCCGUGAAAUGCGUAGAUAUGUGGAGGAAUACCGAUGGCGAAGGCAGCCCCCUGGGAUAACACUGACGCUCAUGCACGAAAGCGUGGGGAACAAACAGUAUUAGAACCCCGAGUAGUCCAGAUG